CGCAUCUGUGCAUGCAGCAUAUCAAUAAGCGGAGGAAAAGAAACUAACAAGGAUUCCCUUAGUAACGGCGAGUGAAGCGGGAAGAGCUCAAAUUUGAAAUCUUCAAGGUUUUACCUUGACGAAUUGUAGUUUAAAGAAGUGUUUUUCUGUUGAAGUUUUGGUAAAAGUUCUUUGGAAUUAGGACAUCAUAGAGGGUGAGAAUCCCGUAUUUGACCAUUAUUUUCAGCUGUGUGAUACACUUUCAAAGAGUCGGAUUGUUUGGGAAUGCAGUCCAAAAUGGGUGGUAAAUUUCAUCUAAAGCUAAAUAUUGGCGAGAGACCGAUAGCGAACAAGUACCGUGAGGGAAAGAUGAAAAGAACUUUGAAAAGAGAGUUAAACAGUACGUGAAAUUGUCAAAAGGGAAGCGUUUGACACCAGUGUUGUUUUUCUCGAAAAUCAAUUAAAAAGGAGUUUAGAUUUUGUUGUGUAUUGACCUUAACAGCUUGCAUUUCAAUUUUCUUGCUUUUUUUAAUGCACUUUUCGUUUAACAAGUCAACAUCAGUUUCUUUUGUUGUAAAAAGGUCAUUGGAAGGUGGCUUUCUUUUCGGAGAAAGUGUUUAUAGCCUUUGACUCCUGCAAUCGGAGAGACUGAGGUCUGCAGCGUAGAUCCUUCGGGGUUAGAUACAUUUGUGCUAAGUUAUAGCUUUUUAUAGACAACUUGUUGACUAUGAUUAGUCUUGUAGCUUACUCGCUUAUGCUAUUUUACCUACGCUUAGGAUGUUGACACACGCGCGUGCUCG
rnacentral:rRNA from 1 species